AGAAUAAACGCUGGCGGCGUGCCUAACACAUGCAAGUCGAGCGAGAAAGUUCCUUCGGGAGCUAGUACAGCGGCGAACGGGUGAGUAACGCGUAAGAAUCUACCGUUUAGUGGAGAAUACCCUCGAGAAAUCGAGGUUAAUACUGCAUAAGUCCCUUCGGGGAGAAAGAUGGCCUCUUUGCUAUCGCUAGAUGAGGAGCUUGCGUACUAUUAGCUAGUUGGUAGGGUAAAGGCCUACCAAGGCGAUGAUGGUUAGCCGGCCUGAGAGGGUGUUCGGCCACACUGGAACUUAGACACGGUCCAGACUCCUACGGGAGGCAGCAGUGAGGAAUCUUGCACAAUGGGCAAAGCCUGAUGCAGCGACGCCGCGUGGAGGAUGAAGGCUUUAGGGUCGUAAACUCCUGUUAAGUGGGAAGAAAGGCUUAUCCCUAAUAUGGAUAAGCGAUGACGGUACCAUUAGAGAAAGCACCGGCUAACUUCGUGCCAGCAGCCGCGGUAAU
rnacentral:rRNA from 1 species